UUUGAGCCCAAAUACAUAUUAAUCCCAAAACAUAUAUUUAAGUAAAGCAGGCAAAAUAAAGUGUUACACAAAAAUCCAUAAAUGUCUACCAGUGGUUACCAUCGAGCCCUCCGUAACACCGAUCUAUCUACUGCUAAGGAUUACCUGACAAACAAAAUAAACAAAGGGGUGAGUUUUCGCAAACUUAGUGUGUACAUCCCCACAAAUAGUCGAGUUUUGAACUCGGGCUCUGAUACCACUAAAUGUAACACCCUAAACUUGGCCUAGACGUUAUGGCCGAAUCUGGCGGCGUCACAUUAGAGUACUUUUAGGAAACCCUUUUAAAAAACCUUAUCAAGUGAAAAAUCGUUCAGUUUAUUAUCUUUACUUAAAUCGGGAAAUCUUUAUUCCAAUUAUUAUGUGAAAACAUUUCAUUAACGCGAAAGCUAAAACAUCAUUAAUUCAUAAAUAAAAAAUUUAACAAUUUAAAAUCCCAAAAUAAACCCAAGAAUAGUUCGAGCCCAAAUACAUAUUAAUCCCAAAACAUAUAUUUAAGUAAAGCAUGCAAAAUAAAGUGUGACACAAAAAUCCGAAAAUGUCUACCAGUGGUCACCAUCGAGUCCUCUAUCACACUGAUCCAUCUACUGCUGAGGAUUAUCUGACAAACAAAAUAAACAAAGGGGUGAGUUUUCGCAAACUCAGUGUGUACAUCCCCACAAACAGCAUGCAUACAAACAGAUAACAGAAUACAGUUAUUCGGCCUCAGCCAUACAGAUAUCGCAUGCAUAACAGAUCAGAUAUCAGAAAUAUCAUGCCCACCAACACUGCAUACUAUCUCCGUCCAACCCAACACACUAUGUGGGGAUAAAAUCGACCCACCCAUUCCUGCACACCGUAUAUGGGGAUAUAAUCGACCCAUCCAACCCUACACACCAUAUAGUACCGUAUCGCAGCACAUAUCGUAAGUAUACAGCUUAGCUGCUAGAUAACGGGCUUGUGAAGCCCUUCAGGUACUCCUUUCACCUCGUCAAACCCACCUCGAUGCAAUGCAUCAUACAAGCAUUGCAUGCUAUAAUGUAGAUAAACAGAUCAUACCUUUAUUUACAGAUAGAACAGAUCAGAUAAUCAUGCUAAGUAUAUCAUGCAUACUCAUACAUCACAGAAUUAAGAGUCUAGAUAAGGCUUACCGACUCUACUACAGGUCACAGUCGACUUGGGCGACCCAUGCAACCUUACAGAACAUUUCAGAUUAAAGGGGCUCACACGCCCGUAUGCCUUGCCCGUGUGGAUCACACGGCCUAACCCAGAUUCCCACACGGGCUAUUUUUCUGAGCCCAUGCCUCGCACACGGCCUACAAGCCAUCACACGCCCGUGUCCGUCGCCCCCGUGUGGUACUCGCACGGCCUAGCUCGUCAGUGAUACGCCCGUGUCUCGCGACGCAAGCUGCCUCAUGGGCGUGCAUGCCACUUUUCAGCUUCUUCUGAAACUCAUUUUCUGCGUAAUCGGAGUACACACCUGGUUCGUUUUCACUACUAAACCAACCAUGAGCACUCCAAAGCCUAAAAUCGCUCAUAGCAAACCCAAAAUCAGUCUCUUAAGUCUAAUUAUUAAGAAUAAGAAAAUCUCGAAACGAGAGAUCUAUUUACCUUCAACGAAUAACGGUGAUUCUUAGCUAUUUAGAACCCGAUUAGCAAUCCACAGAACCUUGAUAAUCCCCUAAACAGCAAAUAAAAUCCCUUUUAAACAAUCUCUAAAUGAAGUCAUGCAAUUUAAUAAAACCAUACUUACCAAGCUGACGAAUCUGCUAGUAAUACGUCACCACUAAUCGAAAAGAAAGAAAAAUGGAGGAGAGGGAAAAAAAGAAAUAGAAUUUUUGGCAGCAAGGGUUUGGAAGAAGAAAACGGCAGAGGAAAAAGCUUUUGUUAAAAAUAAAGAAAAUAAGGACAUCCGCAAAUCCCUAAUUUUAACUAAGCCCUAAACUCAAAAUUUUAAUAAAGCCCAAAAUUUAGCGGAAACUUGCAGCAAAAAUAACUCCAAAGCCACUGCAGAGAUUCAAACUCAGGACCCUGAGCAGACUGACACUCUACUUAACCACCAGACCAGCAGGUCAUCUGUUAAGUUCCUACCAAUAAAUUCUCAUAAGCCCAUUAACCAAAAGUCAAGCUUUAUCCAAAUAAAAACGAAAAUCUAGCCCAAGUUAAGGCUCGAACUUAGGACCUCCCAAACACACCCCAAAGCACAUUCCCUCUUAACCAUACAUUUAAAUCCCAAAAUAACACAAAAGUAAUUGUUCAGAUAUUUCCACGUUCAACCAUCACAAAAGCCAAAUUUACAGAAAUUUGGGGCGUUACAACUCUACCCCCUAAAAUAAAAUUCGUCCUCAAAUUUUACCUGAUCAGAAAAGGUGAGGAAACUACUGUCGCAUUGAAUUCUCUGGCUCCCAAGUAACCUCCUCAGUGCUAUGAUUCUGCCACAGCACAUUCACUAACGGAGUAGACUUCCUACGUAAGAAUUUAACGUCGCAAUCUAGAAUCUAAACAGGUUCCUCCUCGAACGUCAGAUCUGGUCUAAUCUCAAUCUCCUCCACGGGCACAACGUGCGUAGGAUCAGAGUGGUAGCGUCUCAACAUCGAGACAUGAAACACAUCAUGUAUGCGAUCUAACUCUGGAGGUAGCUCUAAUUGAUAUGCGACUGGCCCUGCACGCUUCAGAAUCUGAUAUGGCCCAAUAAAUCGAGGGCUCAGCUUACCCUUACGACUGAACCUCAGAACCUUUUUUCAUGGCGAAACCCUAAGGAAAACCAUGUACCCCACUGAAUACUCGACGUCCUUCCUCUUUAGAUCAGCAUAGGACUUCUGUCUAUCAGAAGCCACUUUCAAACGUUUUUUAAUCAAACGGACAUUAUCCUCAGUUUCUGAUACUAAUUCCAGACCCAGAACACGUCGCUCACCCAACUUAGUCCAGCACAAAAGAGUGAGACACUUACGACCAUAAAGUGCCUCAUACAGUGCCAUAUGUAUACUAGACUGAUAACUGUUGUUGUAAGCGAACUCUGCUAGAGGCAAGUACUCCUCCCAACAGCCUCAGAAAUCAAUAAUACUACCCCUCAACAUGUCCUCUAGUAUCUAGAUCACCCUCUCUAACUGACCGUCUGUCUGAGGAUGAAAAGCAGUACUGAAGUCAAGACGAGAACCCAAAGCCUCAUGAAGUUUUCUCCAGAAUCGAGAUGUAAAACGAGGAUCCCUAUCAGAAAUGAUCGAGACAGGUACCUCAUGCAGCCUUACUAUCUCGGAAAUGUACAGCUUGGCCAACUUCUGUAGAGAGAAGUCUGUCCUAACAGGAAUAAAAUAUGCGGUCUUGGUUAAUAUGUCCACAAUGACCCAAACAGAGUCCUUUUUAGUGGGUGUUAGGGACAACCCACUAAUGAAGUCCAUCGUUACAUGCUCUCAUUUCCACAUAGAUAUUUUAACUGGCUGUAGCAACCCCGAAGGUAACUGAUGCUCAACCUUAACCUGUUGACAAGUUAUACAGCAAGCAACAAAGUCAGUAACCUCACAUUUCAAUCUUGGCCACCAGUACAACUCUCGAACAUCUUUAUACAUCUUGUUUCCACCAGGAUGCAUAACGUAAGGACUACUAUCCGUUUCCCUCAAAAUCGACAGCCUCAAAUCCUCAUUAUUAGGUACAUAGAUCCUACCUCAGAAGCACAAUACCCCAUUAUUAUUCAUCCCAAAGUCUGUAAUAGUCCCAGUCUCAACCUGACGAAAUCGCAUGUCAAGAGUCUUAUCCUCUAACUGCUUAGCUCUAAUCUGUUCAAUCCAUGUUGGCUUCACUUAUAGCUCUGCCAGAAGACUUCGGUCAUCAUAAAGACUCAAUCGAGUGAACAUUGCUCUCAGAUAGGUCAUAGCCCUACGGCUUAGUGCAUCAGCCACCACAUUGGCCUUUCUAGGGUGAUACUCAAUACUGCAAUCGUAGUCCUUAAGCAGCUUAACCCACCGACGCUGCCUAAGAUUUAACUCCUUCUGAGUGAGGACAUACUUGAGGCUCUUGUGAUCAGUGUAAAUGGUACACUUCUCUCCAAACAGAUAAUGCCUCCAAAUCUUCAAUGCAGAGACCACUGCAGCUAACUCCAAAUUAUGCGUCGGAUAAUUAGCCUUGUGAGUCUUAAGCUGUCGAGACGGACAAGUAACUACCUUAACAUCUUUCAUCAAGACGCAACCCAAACCCACAUGUGACGCAUCACUGUAAACCAUGAAGUCCCUACCAGGCUUAGGCUGUAUCAGAACUAGAGCCUGAGUCAAAACUGUUUUGAGUUUCACGAAGCUCUCCUGCUGCGCGUCAGUCCAAACGAAAUGAACUCCUUUACGCAACAACUUAGUCAAUGGCGCUGCGAUCAACGAGAACCCCUCUACGAAACAUCGGUAAUAUCCUGGCAGUCCCAAAAAACUACGGAUCUCCGACACAUUCUCCGGUUGUUUCUAAUCCAUCAAAGCCUCAAUCUUACAAGGAUCUACUUGAAUCCCCUCAGCAAAAACCACAUCCCUUAAAAAGGUUACCUCCCUAAGCUAGAAUUCACACUUCAUGAACUUCGCAUACAACUAUUUCUCACGAAGGAUCUGCAGAACCACUCUUAAAUGCUCGUCAUGCUCGUCCUCAGACUUAGAAUACACCAGAAUGUCAUCGAUGAACACCACCACAAAUCGAUCCAAGUAGGGCUGAAACACACGGUUCAUCAAGUCUAUGAAUGCCGCUGGUGCAUUAGUCAACCCAAAAGGCAUGACUAGAAACUCGUAAUGCCCAUAACGAGUCUUAAAUGUCGUCUUAUGCAUAUCGGCCUCCUUAACCCUCAAUUGAUGAUAACCUGACUGCAGAUCGAUUUUAGAAAACACUGAAGCCCCUUUGAACUGAUCAAAUAAGUCAUCUAUCCUCGGAAGUGGCUACUCAUUCUUAAUUGUCAACUUGUUCAGUUGACGGUAGUUGAUACACAUCCUCAUUGUACCGUCCUUUUUCUUUACGAAUAGAACAGGUGUUCCUUACGAAGACACACUGGAGGAAUAAACCAACGAUCCAACAGCUCCUGAAUUUGAGCCUUCAGUUCUGCUAACUCCUUCAGUGCCAUUCGAUAAGGGGCAAUAGACACCGGAGUUGUACCAGGAAUCAACUCAAUCCCAAAUUUUACUUCACGACUCGGAGGCAAUCCUAGUAAUGACAGCACAGAUGUCCUUAACCGAUAAGUCCAUAGAAUUGGAGACACUGAUGUAGGCCAAAAACGCCUCACAUCCUUUCCUUACCAGCUUCUCUGCCACUAAUGCAGAUAUCACAUUAGUCAGAUGAUUUCGUUGUUCUCCAACCAUGACUAUCUCAUUAUCCUCAUUGGUCUUCAGAACCACCCUCUUUUCAGUACAAUCCAGACUUACACGAUGUUUCACCAGCCAGUCCAUACCCAGAAUAAAGUCGAACUCCCCAGACAGAAGUUCCAUCAGAUCAUCCAGAAAUAUCGUUCCUUGGACUUCCAAUGGAACAUCUCUGAAUAGUUUACUAACCCUAAUAGACUGCCCCAACGAACUCACCACUGAAAUCUCACUAGAAGUGAUCUCAUACGAUAUUCCCAAAGUUUCAGACACAGAACAUGCAACGUAGGAAUGUGUAGAGCCUAUGUCUAUCAGUGUAACAUAAGAUAUGUUAAGGAUUGGGAACAUACCCGUGAUGACGUCUAGAGCAUCUUCAUCCUCAUGACGACGUGCAGCAUAGACAAGUGCAGACUACCUUGCUUCAGUCGGCCCAGCACCUUGGUCCGGUGCUCUCUGUCCUUGGCCCAUACCGUUACCACCCCUAGCUUGACCCCAGCCCCUAGGUGGCUGCUGAACUACCUUCAGUGGCUGUGCAGUCUCAGUAGCUGGAGCUUGCAUCUGAUUAAUCCUCAAUAGACAGUCCUUAACACGAUGCUCAGAUGAUCCACAUCUAAGACAAGGUUUAGUAGACCUCCAACACUCGUCCGAAUGGCGUCUAUUACAAAGCUGACAAAUCACCACCCCAACAGGUGCAACAGUAGGCCAAACUUUUAGGGGCCCAUCAGAUUUGUCCUUUUUCCUAGGCUUCACCACAGCAUUCGAAGACUCUAAAUCCCUUUUAGUCUUCCCUCUGUCACGGUUCUGGAGCUCAGCGUGCUUAACCUCCUCCGCAAUCUUGGCCUUUUCUGUAACACCCGUUACCCGUAUUCGAGGCCGGGCUAAGGUACGAGGCGUUACCAGACAAACAUACAAACAUUAAACUAAAAUACGAGCCAUAAAAUUUUAUUCAUAUUUCAAAGCGUUCAAUCUCUUACACAUAGUCCCUUAUUUGAGUCUACGGAGCCCAAAACAUACUUUAGAAAGGGUUUGGGACUAAACCGAGAACUUAUGAAAAUCUUGGAAAUUUCAUGCUUUAAGGCUCCACACGCCCGUGUCCCAAAAUCGUGUUCCAUACACGGCUGAGACACAUGGUCGUGUCUCUGCCUGUGUGGAAUAUACCUAGGCUAUUUUCCAAGCUUUGGUCAACCUUGAUCUCUUACACACUUAUACAAAAUCAAAAGCAUAUAACAUGGUAUUCAUUUAAUGAUUAAACAUCCUCAAUUAAACCACAAACAUAGCAUUUGUAUGUCAUCAUACAUGUGUCUCUCAUACUCAUUUUACCUUGUUUAUUAUAGUACCACUUAUACAUUUAUACCAAGAUUAUCAUCUUACCAAAUAUCUUCAGCUUAAUCAUCAAGCAUUCAUAUUUAAAGCUAGAUCAUAUCUUUAUAAAAUACCACGAUUCAGAUGCGCAGAAUAACAUGUUUGCCUGAAACAUGUCAAUUCAAUUCCAUACCCAACAAGCAUUACAUUGAGACUAGUCAUAUAUAUAUAUACAUGUCAUGAUACAUAACAUUCUCUUUUUGUUUUCUUAUAAACACAUAUCAUUUAUUUCAUUAUAUCAAUAUUUCAUAUACCAUAGUUUCCAUGUAUUCCACAUAUAUUUAUUUUCCUCCUCCUCCUCUCCAUUCCACAUCCUUAAAGUAUAUAGCAUUCUUGUAAGUACGAUUUCACAAUUUACUAAUAAAUGUUCACAUCAAACUGUCCACACGAGUCAUAGUCACUUAAUUAUUUAUAAUUUGAGCUACAAAGCUCCAAAUUAAGAUCCGUAAAUUUCCCUUGAAACUACACUCACAUAUCUUUCCACCAUAAAAUUUUCAUAAUUUUUGGUUUAUCCAAUUAGUACAGUUUAUUAAUUAAAAUUUCCCCUGUUUCACUUUCUGACAGUUCUGACAUCUCUUCACUAAAAAAUAAUUAUCUCACAGUACAGAACGCAGAUAAUGUUCUUGUUGAUUUAUCUUGAAAAUAGACUCAUUGUGGAUUUUAAAAAUAUAAUUUUGAGCCUCUAAUUAUUUUUCUCCAAAUUUUUGUGAUUUUCCAAAGUAGAACAGGGGAUCACGUAAUCAUUCUGAAUUAGUCUCAUAAAAACAUAAAUAUCUCAAAAUAUAGAACUCCUUUUCUUUCUAUAUUUCUUUUAUAUGAAAAUAGACUCAUUAAGAUUUAAUUUGAUAUGUCAUUAAGUCUCUGAUUCAAUUUAUACUAUUUUUGGUGAUUUUUCAAAAUCACGUCACUCUACUGUCCAAAACAGUUUUAUUGCUAAUUCACUCUUUCACACUUUCUUUGUAUUAACCUCAUUUUAACAUACAUAUCACGAAUCAUUUUCACCACAUUUCAUACAUCACAAGUAUAGGCCCAUGAUCACAAGGUCACCAUAAAAUCAUCCUCAUCUAUAACUUACUUGUUUAUAACCUUACCACAUCCUGGUCACUUAAUGAACACAUCAUUCACAUAACCAAGUUCCUGCACUUAUUCAUCACAAAACUCACAAAGCAAUACAUAGAGAGUCUCCCGUUGAACACUUCGGAUCAAUCCUCGAUACUUGGUGGUUUCAGCACAUAGCUCCACCCAUCAUAUAGUUCGGCUCUCUUGUACACAUGGUGAACACUUAGUACCACCCAUGUGACCUAGCCAGUUUAUCUCGUAGCUCUCUUGUCUACAUGGUGUUCUUCACUUGGAACCACACAUGCGACCUAGCUACAUAUAUCCCGUAGCUCUCUUGUCUACAUGGUGUACACAUAGUAUCACCCAUGCAACCUAGCUACAUCAUAAUGUCUUGUAGCUCUCUUGUACACAUGAUGUGCAUUCAGCACUAUACAUGUGACCUAGCUACAUACCAUCUGUAUCAUCCAAUCUUUCUGAAGGUUCAACCGGGAUUUCUCUCUCUUUUCCAACAAUUUCACCAAUCAAGUAAUUAUCCACAAACAUAUUUCCAAUAUUUUUAUAAAAUAUCAUAAUACAAGUAAUAGUGAUGUAUUACUUACAUAUAAACUUACAUCUCAUUUAAUAUCAACGCAAUAACAUUAAAUUACACAUUGUCUUAUUAAAAAUCAUAUGAACUUACAAUUUCCCAUAAUAUCCAUAAUCAUAGAAAUCACAUUUAUGUAUGAUAAUUCAAUGCACUUCAUGUACCAUAGACAUAUUUUUAAAUCAAUUCAUAAACUUGGCACCAUAAUCAUUUAAUUUAACAUAAUUCAAUUAAUUCACUAAAUUUAACUUUCAAAUAUAAAUUACAGCAUUAUUGUUGUAUUAUUAUCAUACCAACUUACAUACUUUCAACACCUCGGAGAUCAUAGUAAAUAUAUCAAUUUUACAUUGAAACAUGCAUAAAUUAAUGCUUAUUAUACAUAUGAACUUACCUUGAUAUUAAAACGGCCAUUUUACCAACUUUCCCAAUUUUCGAUUUUUCUCUCAUUCUAGGUUCAAAUCUCGUUUUCCGGGAUCUAAAACAUCAUAUUUUACUUAUUUAAUUAAUGUACUAUUCAAAACAGUCCUUAACUCAAACUUUUGAAAAAUUACAAUUUUGCCCCUAAACUUUUGCAUAUUUACACUUUUGCCCCUAGGCUCGGGAAUUAAAAUUCAUCCCUUAUUAUUAUGUUUUAUGACAUGAUGAUCACUUUUCCCUUCUAUGGAAACAUCAAAUUCUCACUCUAACAUAUACUUAUGACUAUUAGGUAUUUUUACCGAUUAAGCCCUUUUGCUCGUUUUCACUUAAAACCGAGUAGCACAAGUUGUCUAACAUAACUUAAAACCUCAUAUUAUAUCAUAAAACACCAGAAUACACAAAUUUUACCUAUGGGUAUUUUUCCAAAUAUGAACCCUAGGUUAAAUUAUUGCUAGCAUAAGCUAAAUCAAGUUACCGGGACUCCAAAAACGUAAAGAACUUGAAAAACGGGGUUAGAACGGACUUACAAUUGAGCUUGGGAAGCUUGAAAACCCUAGCCAUGGAGUCUCCCUUGGUAUACACGUCCAUGGUGAAGAAGAUGAGCAAAAUUGGCUUUUAAUUUUGUAUUUUAAUUCAUUUUACCCCUAAAUGACCAAAAUACCCUUAGUACUAAACUUUCCAAAAAUUCCAUCCAUGUCCAAUUUUUGUCCAUAACUUAGAAAUUGGUCAAAUUUCUAUUUAAGACCUCCUAAUUAAUAUUUCAAAUCAAUUUCAUACUAGAAACUUCUAGAAUGCAAGUUUUGCAACUUAUUCAAUUUAGUCCCUAACUUCGAAUUAAGCACUUUAUGCAUUGAAUUUCUUCACGAAAUUUUCACACAAUCAUGCAAUCAUAUCAUAGACCUCAAAAUAAUCAUAAAAUAAUUAUUUAUAUCUCAGAUUUUGUGGUCCCAAAACCUCUGUUCCAACUAGACCCAAUUUUGGGCUAUUACAUUUUCGACCAACACGGCAAACUCACGCUCCCUCUGUGGAGCUAUCAGGACCCUCAAGUUAUCCCUAAGGCCGUCCUCAAAAUGAAUACAGCGCUCAUACUCAGUCGCCACCAUGCCUCAUGUAUAACGGCUCAGCAUAAAAAAGUCAGCCUCAUACUCGACCACUGAACGAUCUCCCUGAGUAAGAGUCAGGAACUCACGCCUCCUAGCGUCGAUGUAACUGGCUCUCACAUACUUGCUCUAGAAAGCUGUCUUAAAUAUAUUCCACGUCAGACUGUCAGGCUGAGUGCUAUCCCUAAUUGUCAGUCACCAUUGAUACACUUCAUCGCGAAGCAACAAAACAGCUCCCUUGAACUUCUGCUCGGUAGUAAAAUCCAAAUCAUCCAGAAUACGCUCCGUGUCCUCCAUCCAGUACUCAGCCACAUUAGGAACAACUCCAGCGAUGCCCUUGAAUACCUCGGCCCCAUUGGACCGAAGUUGUUCCGUAAUCGACCCACGGCCUUCAAAUCCAACAUUAGCCCAGCGACCCUCUUCAGGAUUCGCAGCAUGGCCUGGGACAAUGCGUUGUCCCUAGCUGUAUGGUCCUUAGACUCAGCACUAGUCUCAGUAACAGGUGACACCGGCGUCUCGCUAGUGUCCAGAUUAGGGAUCGUAUCAGAUGUGAAUGACUCAGCUCGAAUCCCUCUACGGCCUCUACCUCAGCCUCUAGUACCCCAUCCACGAGUACCACGUGUGCUCAUCGUAAUUUUUGAAUUAAUCUAUAUUAAAAAUUUUAUGCAAGUCAGUUUACAGUUUCGAUAGUUUUUAUCAGGUAUUUUAUGUAGACGAGUUAUAAGAGUACUCAGAGUCUAUUAUCGCAAAUCGUAGUUUACUACAGUUUUCAAUUUACACUACCUAGAGUGUUUCAAUAAGUAUACUACCUACAAUAGUUUCACAACAAACAUUAGUAUUUUCAAACAGGAAUUCAAUAUAUUUUAAGCAUGCUUUCAAACAAUUUCAUACAAAGUUUCAGAAACUUAUAGGAUCAGCGCCUGAGACUCGAUGAACCACAUACUUGAGAAGAGUAUUUGAAAACAUUCAAAAGUGUUUCUCUAAAACCAAUUUUGGAACUCAAAGUUCACAGCCGAGUUUUGAACCCGGGCUCUGAUACCACUAAAUGUAACACCCCAAACUCGGCCUAGACGUUAUGGUUGAAUCUAACGGCAUCACAUGAGAGUACUUUUAGGAAAUCCUUUUAGAAAACCUUAUCAAAUGAAAAAUUGUUCAGUUUAUUAUCUUUACUUAAGUGAGGAAAUCUCUAUUCCAAUUAUUGCGUGAAAAUAUUUCAUUAACGUAGAAGCUAAAACAUCAUUAAUUCAUAAAUAAAAAAUUUAACAAUUUAAAAUCCCAAAAUAAACCCAAGAAUAAUUCGAGCCCAAAUACAUAUUAAUCCCAAAACAUAUAUUUAAGUAAAGCAGGCAAAAUAAAGUGUUACACAAAAAUUCGUAAAUAUCUACCAGUGGUCACCAUCGAGCCCACCGUUACACUAAUCCAUCUACUGCUGAGGAUUACCUGACAAACAAAAUAAAUAAAGGGGUGAGUUUUCGCAAACUCAGUGUGUACAUCCCCACAAACAGCAUGCAUACAAACAGAUAACAGAAUACAGUUAUUCGGCCUCAGCCACACAGAUAUCGCAUGCAUAAUAGAUCAGAUAUCAUAAAUAUCAUGCCCACUAACUCUGCACAUCAUCUCCGUCUAACCCAAAACGCCAUGUGGGGAUAAAAUCGACCCACCCAUCCCUGCACACCGUAUAUAGGGAUAUAAUCGACCUAUCUAACCCUACACACUAUAUAGUACCGCAUCGUAGCACAUAUCGUAAGUAUGCAGCUUAGUUGCCAGAUAACGGGCUUAUAAAGCCCUUCAGGUACUCCAUUCACUUCGUCAAACCCACCCCGAUGCAAUGCAUCAUACAAGUAUGGCAUGCUAUAAUGCAGAAAAAUAGAUCAUACAUUUAUUUACAGAAUAGAACAGAUUAGAUAAUUAUGCUAAGUAUAUCAUGCAUACCCAUACAUCACAGAAUUAAGAGUCUAGAUAAGGCUUACCGACCCUACUAAGGUCACAGUCGACUUGGGUGACCCGUGCAACCUUACAGAAUAUUUCAGAUUAAAAGGGCUCACACACCCGUGUGCCUUGUCCGUGUGGGCCUACACGUCCGUGUGGGUCACACGGCCUAAAUUGGCCUUGUCCAUGUGGAUCACACGGCUUGACCCAGAUUCUCACACGCCCGUAUGGGCCCACACGCUUGUGUGGCCCAUAUGGCCUAUUUCUUGAGUCCGUGCCUCGCACAUGGCCUACAAGGCAUCACACACCCGUGUUUGUCGCGCCCGUGUGGUGCGCACACGUCCUAGCUCGUUAGUGACACGCCCGUGUCUUGCGAUGCAGGCUACCACACGGGCAGACCACAUGCCCGUGUGGCGUCGACAUGCCACUUUUCAGCUUUUGCUAAAAUUUAUUUUCUGCGUAAUUGUAGUACACACCUGGUUCGUUUUCGCUGCUAAUCUAACCAUGAGCACUCCAAAGCCUUCAACGAAUAACGGUGGUGAGAGAGGAGGAGGCGUGGAAGAGAGGGGAUGUUCUAGUGGUGUUGUGGUGUUGGUUUGGUGAUGUAAAUGUGGCUAACAAUUGUGGUAUGAUGGCAAAAUGUAGAACAAGUGGUAGUGGAAGGAGGAUGAGAAGAGAAAAAAAUAUAAGAGGGUGAGUAAAAAUAAAAAUGGAUAUUUUAGGGUGUCUAGGUACAUUGGUGGGCCAUGGUAUGGUAAGAGGGGAAGAAAAUGGCAAUAGGGGGAACAUAGGUACAAAAAGUGGAUCAUGGAAUGAAAAUGGGAGCUAUUGGGGAAACGUUGACUAAACAAAAAAAGAAAAAAAUCUUCCCCAUAAGACAACUAUGAGGUGGAUGGAAAGGGUGUUGACUACCCUUUUUACAUGCUAAAAAUUUAAAUAAAAAUAUGUGGAUAAUGGGAAUUGAACCUAGGGUCUCUAGGAAUUUAAUUAAGCCCUUUAUCACUUGACCACUUGCUUGUUCAAUAAAUUGAAAAAAAUAAUAAAAACGAGAUAGUUCGACUGGACACUAAACAUGGGAUGGUCCUCUGUGAUGGUAAAUAUGGGGUUAUAUCGUGUAAGACCAUAGUUGAAAUAUGUUGUGGCAUCGUAGAUAUUUUUUCGGGACAAUAAAUACGGGGAUACUGAUGUGAAAGACAUAGUUAGACUAUGGAAACCAAUGGAGUCCGUCGGGACAAUAAACAUAAGGGUAUACUAUAUAAGUCCAUAGCACGACUAUGGUAGCCUAGAGAAAGAGUCUGCGCAGACAAUAAACAUAGAUGAAAAAUCAGAACAGUGCGUAAACAAUAAACAUGGGUGGAAAAUCAUAACAAAAAUCAUGAGGUAACCCGCAAACAAGGAAAAAGGGUUGGGGUUGGAAGGAAUAUGGAAGUAUGAACAUGCAACAGUAGAACAAUGGGUCGAAGGAAUUCCACAAAUGAAUGUAUAUGUAAUGGAAAUGAUAAAGGACUACAGGAAUAGUAGUGUAACCCAGCAAGGCAUAAGGAUGUUAAUCAGGAAUUAGUAAUGAAAGUUGAUGUACCAAUGGUCCCUAAAGUUCAGGCGAAUAAGAAAUGGUUUAACCAAGGAUAGUGGAUAAGGAUCCACCAUUAAGGAAUGCCGAGGGCGUUAAGAGAAAUUGUAUAGACUAGUGGUGUAUCAUAUAUACAUUAGUUAAUCCGUAAGGAAGAAAAAUAUGGUUAGAACCCAUAAACAAAGAAGGAUACACUGGAUGACAGAAGUGUCUGUUAAGACUAUUUCUCUUAAAAGAGAAAACUAUUAAGGAAGUAUCAGCCAAAUGGCUAGUUAUGUAGGAAUGCAAUAUGAGAGAGAAAUCGUAAACUCAAAUAGCUACAUAGAGACAUCUGGCUGAAUAUUGACAACCAUAAAGGUCCAUAGCAAAAGAGUGUGCUAUGCCUAAGGGUAAUGUAAUAUGGCCAAUGUGGAUUACCAAGAAGUAAUCUAACUGCUAUUUGCUACAAAUGAGACUUACCCUGGCAGAGUAGCGAGAAAUUUUCUAGGUAUCCCAAAGGAUGGGAUGACAGCGAGCCUAUCGGGACUAGGGUAAUAAUAAGAGUCCACCAUGGACUGUUUAAAUUGUGAAUGACUGUUAAAGAAAAUAUACUAAUUGGUGUUUAGGAGGUAAGUCAGAGAGUCGCAAUAAUAGGGCAUAAUGGUGAGAAAAAAUUCACUUUGAGGAUGAAUGGAAGAAAGAAAAUGAAUGAAAGAAAAGAUAGAGUCCGCAGAGUUGGCAAUACAUUCAGAGGAACUGCUAAGGUUGAUUGAAGGUCAAUAGAAUGGUCGGAAAGAAAUCGCUCAACGAUUUAUCCAUCCAUGGAUAUGAUCAUAUCACAGAGGUCUGAUUUGUGGUUGUAAGAAUUGCGGAUUAAGGAACUUAAGCAAUGACCUAGACAAACCUUGUUGUAUCAAGGAACUCCAUAAUAAAGUGUCAUGCACAUUGGAAGGGGGCACCUUUAUGAACGUCGCUAAUGGGGUGAUUAUGUUGUAUUAAUUUAGAUUCAUCAGUGUCCUAAUCUAUCACACACCCUAUGACAAUUUAUCUCACCUUUAUACCUUGAAGACUAGAAAAUCUCACCACUAAAUUCACCCCUAGUGAAUUUAGCAAGUAAAACCACAAUAAAAAGGUUCUAUUAUCAAUAUGCAUGCAUAUAAUAAGGUUCCUCACUUAGAAUAGAUUAAGAGCCCAAUUCUCUUCGUACAUAAACCUAUACAAGUUCUCAAUUAUAUAGAGUUUAUCCAGACUUGCUUACAUAAAAAGAUCUAUCACAAUCCCUAUAAAACAACCACUAUAUAAGCUUAAUACAACAUAAUAAUAAUGAACAACAUAAACUAGGAUUCUUGGCAGAUAAGCCUUUAGUGAUUCAAUCUACUCCAACUUCAUUGAUUCAAAAGAUUAGAUAAGGGUAAUCUUAUUCAAUCCAAUCACUAAUAUAUGAUUUCCAAGUGAUACGAUUUUCCAUAAUAGGCUAGAUAUCGUCCAUAUAGAUUUAAUGGGCAGGGGAAUGAGCACUCCCUCUAACACCAAAUUUUCAGUUUUGUAUUUUUCAACAGAUAACGAUAUUAGUGAAUUAUAAUUAAAAUAAAUUUCUAUGUAUAUAAUUAUACAAAAUCAAAAUUUAUUUUACAAUGGACAUUUAAUAUCGUGAAGUAUAAUUUUAAAAUUUAUCCCUAAAAAUAUAUACAUAUUAACUUCUAUAAUUUUUUUAUUUUUUAUUUAGAUUCACCAAUUGAAUUCAUAUAUAACUAUAUUAUUUUAUAUUAGUAUUUAUAUAAAACUAUAUUUUAUAUUAAUUGUCAAGGAUUUAUGCUACAUGUUUGCCAUAGUCGUGAUAAACAAAAAACAAAAAAAUUUGCUACACUUUUUGGAUUUUUUUUCUCUAAAAUAUUUUUAAAAAAAAAAGAUUUGCUCACCUUUUGAUAUUCUUUUUAGAAUAAUAUCAUGGUCAACAGAUGUCAUCGAUUUCGAUCUUUGGUUUGUAAAACAUUUUACCGUACAAGCCAUUUUUAGUGCGGAAGCACUAAUCUAGAAAAUAUUUCAAGAAAUACUAGUAUUGAAUUUUUAAAAAGUUAAAAUAUAAAAUAAUUAUGUUUUAAUUUAUUAUUUCAUUAUUUUUUGAGAAAAUUUUUAAAUAAAUUUAUUUUCAUUUUGAGAGAUAGUAUAAUUUUAUAAUUUUAUAAAUUUUAAGAGUUUAAAAUAUAAUUUUUUUUUUGAGAACCAGGGCCAUAACUUACCCCUUGAAUUCUCUCUUGAGGUGAAGCAAAGCAAAAAUAUCUUUCAAAAUUUAUUCUUUAAAAAAGAAAAUAAAAAAGAUAUUUAAAAUAUUAUAUUUAGAAUGGAUGAAUAUAUAUAUAGAACAGUUUUCACCACAUAAAAAGAAAAAAAGGUUUUUUCUUUCGGAGCAAAGUGAAUGGAAAAAGGCAAAAAGCAAAAGCAUAAAAAGAAUUGAAAUUAGGUUUUGAGAUUGACUGAAAUUCAUCAAACAAACACACACCUGUGAAGUGUGAAUACAGCCAAACAAUGACUGUUUUUGGUUUUACACAAAUUAGCUCAGCUGGCUGCCCUUUCUUUUUCACUACUCAUCCGUUUCUGCAUAAUAAGAACAGCCUGUAGACCAAACCCAUUUGCUUUGCACCUCCCACCAUUUUUGGAUUUUUUUUCCUAUUUUGAUAUCAGUAUUUGGUUUUUUAAUCUGUU
rnacentral:lncRNA from 1 species